GCGUCGUCCCAGACUCUCCACAGCUCCCGCUGCCGAGACUCCGAGCAGACGUCGCAGCGGGCCAAGCGUCGCCACUCUGGGGACGCGAACAAGCUGGCGGCCCGCGCCCCUCUCCUGCUACCUGGUCGCGGGAAAACGAACUAGCACCGCUCCCCGGGCCGAGGCCAUUCCCCCGCCCCCACCGCCGGAAGAGCUGCCCUUCCCCGAUGGGAGGGGGGCGGGAAACUUUGCGAGACGACUGUUCCGCGCCUUUCUCGCGUGGCGUCGGAGAGGAACUUGGGUGGGUUUCCCGUCCGAGGCCUGACCACACCCUCCCACUUUUCUAGGCCUCGGACCUCAACCUCGUGGACUACGGAGCGGAGGGGGACACUUCGAGCCACUCGGAGGGUGGCACCGAAGUCAGGCGUCCCCAAGGGCUCUGGCGGAUGGCCAAGUUUGUGUUCUUUCCAUCCCACGCCGGAGUAGCGCUCGCUACUUUGGGGAAACUUCAGACUCCUCAACCCCGGCCACGAGGCCACCCCUGUCUUUAAGACCACAUAAGGAACACCAUGAUCCGUGCAUCUGUGCAGCUUGUUCCAGAGUCCCAGCCCUCACCAGCUGUGAGGUCACAUCUCUUGGAAGGCAGUCAUCUACCUCAACCAGCAGCUCCGAGAUGCUGGGCAGCGGGACCAUAUCUGCCAUUGGGAGAGCUGCCGCUGGUGCUCUGGGCUGUCCUACUCCUUCCGGUAGCCAAAGAGAGGAUGCGAGUUUUAAAAAUGCAUAUAUUCAGAGAAAAUGACUACCAAGAGAGCGACAGAUUAUAUUUUCCAAAAGUGAUGGCAACAAUAUCUCCCAUCCCAGCUGCUCAUCUUACAGUGUGACUUUGACAUUCCUCCCAUUGAGAGAGAAUAUGCACCUACUUUGUGGGAGGAAGAAAAAAUACGGCGCUGCUCAGCUAGUACACAGAGGAAACCAAAGAGUUCCAAAGGCACGUUUGGGGACAGAGAGCUGUUUCAGGUAUCUCAAAGUAAAAAAGAUGUAUUUUGUAAAACCUUAAGAUGUAGAUAUUACCAUGGGCGUACUUGCAGCAAGAUUGCCUUCCCCAAACUAUUAAUUCAUAAAACGUCUGUCUCCUAAUUGGAAGGCGGGGGAUGCCUGGAGGCACAACUGGCCCAUCCCACCGCCUUCUGCCUGGAUUGUCCACAAAGCCACUGGGCCAGCAUGUGGCCCUCUGUGCAGAGGCCAAGAAGAGAGGCUGCAGACAGGUGGGGCCGCAGCUUGGCCACAAAGUGCUCCCUACCGCCACCAAGAAUGGAGCUGGGAUGGGGCUCUCCACCCAGCACAGAUCUUUCCCCAUCUCUCCCGUUGCCAGAAGCCUCAGGUGGGCUGGGCUGGUAGAGGAAUGAACUUAGCAGAGACCCACUUGGUUCCAGGAACCAUGACUUGAUACCGCUGAAUCACGAUUGCCUGCUGGAAGGGACAGUGCAGCCUUAGUCUUUGUAUGUGUGAAUUUAGUGUCUGCUCGGCGGCUAGAAUCAGAGCUGUGGUUGGAAGCAUCCAGCCCCAGAUUGUAAAGUGGGUAGGAAUUUUUGCUUGGUCACAAAGUCUGGUGUGCAGACACUAAUGCUCUUUAUUUUCCUUUUUCGUUCUUUUUUUUUUUUUUUUGC